UUUCAUUUCAUUUCAUUAAAUGUGGGGAUUUUAUUUUAUUUUAUCGAACGCGGGGAUGUGCCUUCCCCACCCCUGCUCGCUCAGCCCUACAGAUGCUUACAAUUACCCGCAGAUGCAGAUGUAAAUGCAGAUUUUGCAGUUACAAUUUGUACCCCCCAAAAUUGUCCUUUUGAAGAGUUGUCUCCAAAUUUCUCUGGGCUUUCAGCACUGUAUUUAUUUAGCAAUCGACUCGCCGCCGAAGAGAGCGAGCGCUAUCCUUGCUCUGCGUCCCCUUCAGCGGGGAAGAGCUGCAGGGUGGUUAUGCAGAAAUGUGCCAGACUUGCUCGGAGGGAGCCGGGCUGGAGCAGGCACCAGGAGACCACUUCCAUCACCAGGACCGCCCCGUGGAUGAUGCUGUUCUGUCUGGGAUGGGGCUUUGGCCACGAGGGCAGGGUACGGAUGUGCCACCAGGGCUCGGUCUCCCCAACGCCACCAGUCCCGCACCAACCCCAAAGGCAGGGACGUCUGCUUUUGUGGGGGUUAGAGGUGUUUCUCCGGGUGCUUCCAAAUGGAGACAAUGAGACAAAAGACACUGCAGGAGGCCUGCAAGGAUCACAUUUAUUUAGCAGCAAAUCCUCGUCAUUUCUGUUUAAGGCAGGGUUUGUUUUUUUGCAUUCUUUCCUAAGAGCCUCAGUGAUGGUUUGAGAUGUAACAAGCGGGAUUUUGUUGCUUCAGUCAUCACGAAAAGGGUUCUGAUUUUCACUUCAAAUCUGCAAUAUCCGUUUUUUAUUACAGGUUGCUUGGUACCGCUUUCAAAACCCCGUGUGAUGUGGACAAAACCCCAGCAGCAAACCCCGCAAAGCUCCCACCAAAACGGCCCCGUCAGCCAGGGCUGCUCAAAUUCUGCCAAAUCCCUGCUACAGAAAAAGGAAAUAACUGAAAAAGUGAGAGAUUAGCCCAAGGAGGCGUGGGUCCAGGGUGGGAAAGGCUGCACGUGCUCUCGGCAGCUCUCCGUACCAGCUCACGCUCCUGGCAGCCCGUCCUCAGGCGACUCAGUGCUAUUUUAUCCAAAAUUUGACUUUUUGACUUGGCUCCUAUUAAACAGGCGUCAAAAAGACAAGAUAAAACCCAGUGGUGCCUACCCGAUGUGAUUGCUGUUGUACCUCAUCGUUCAGUUCCGCAUCUUGCAGUGCAACGGGCCGGGCUGUUUGCCCAUGGGAGCUUUUUUGGUGAGCGUGGAGGAACGGAGAGACCCAAAAGAGCACCCUUGGGUGCUGCUGCCAGGGCUGGGUGAUGGGCAAAGCCGCUGCCCCCAGGUUGGGCUGGAAGGUCUGAGUGAGGACACAGCUCGUGGUGCUCGUGCUCACCAAAACUGAGCAGAAAAUGGGAAAUGCUACUUAGGAAAGUGCUGGAAAAUAACGUUGAAGUGUUGAUGGAAAGCCUUGCUGGAAUCUCAGCAUCUGAAAGUGUUGAGCUGGUCGAAAGCAUGGGCUGAGCCCCCGCUGGCAGAGGUUUAGUGGGAAAAGCUGCUGGCUGGAGACAGGCAGCCCUGCCAGACGUCAGUCUGACGCUGUUAGAUAGCAGGGGGAAAUAAAAAAAAACACAGAACAACACUCUUUAGCAGUUACACUGCCCCCAAAGAGUCACACUUUCCUUGUCAAUCACAAAAUAUUUGCAUUUGAAAGGGUUUGCACUGGGACUGAUCCUGUGCCCUGGCAGCCAGGGCAGGUUCAGCUCCCCGGUUGAAUCCUUCCUUUGCCAGCACCAGCCUGAUAGAGGCCUUGAGGUACUUUUAGCUUCUUGUUAAAUGAAGCAAUGAAAAUAGAAGGAAGCAAAAAUCCCUGGGCCACAUCCCCAGGCUGAAAUCAUACCCGCCAUGUAUGGCCAUCAGAUUUUGCAGAUUUCCUUGCUCCAGAGACUCAAUAGCAGGAGUCUGCACGUUCCUGUGUGCAGCAUUUUGCUGUGCAACACCCAAGUGGGUGCCAGCAGGCUGUGCCCUGCCGAAUGUGGGUGCACGUCUGUGUCUAUGCCCACACUUAAAGUCCACAUUGGAUGUAGACCCCCAAGCACCAAAACACAAUAGCUGAGAAGUCAUCUCCUGCGGCAUCAGGUCUCCUUGCAUGCAGUUUGAUAGGUGUAAGGGUGGUUUUUAGCACUUUGUGGAACAAGGUGGGGCUGAAAUAGUUGGGGGGGAGGAGAUGUGUCUGCAUGGGAAGGCUGGGACCUCCUACAGCCCCUGUGUAGGGUCUCUGUACCUUCCAACCAUCCCUUCCAACAUAUUUUCCCCCUACUUACCACGCGUCUCAAACUCACGGCCAAGUCCAUCCCCUUUCACUCCCAUGACGUUGAUUGUGGUCCACACCAAGGUCCUCAAAGGAGGCUCGAGGUGUCCCCUCCCACGGGGCAGCCCCUGCUGUCCGACCACGUCCCUGUGUGCCGGGGGCUCCGUCGGUCCCAUGGCACCGCAGGAGGACAUCUCCGAGGGGCCGGUGCUCACAGCCGCAGCCGCAUCCCCUGGACCUCAUUAUUUCAUUGACAGCAGUCAAUAUCUCCCCGCAUAGGAAUGUAUUUACUUAUAGGCACAUAAGUAAUUCAUUUAUAAAAUUGAAUUAUCUGACUAGGGAGAUUGUGUGUUUUGAUUGUGUAGCAGUACUUCUGAAACCGACUUAAAAUUGAUAAAAGCCAGAUGGAAAGCGGAAACAGUCCAUUUCAUGACUCUUUAAACGUUUAAGUUGGUUAACCCUUGUACUGCACAAUUUCUGAAGCUGUGGUGUAGUGUGGAAGCAAUUUGUUGGUGAGUUCUCAGGAUGCAAAGUGGGCUGUAAGUGCUCGCCGGCUUGGGUGCCGAGGGGAAAAACGAGUCCGUGGCCUCCGGCUGCAAGGGCUCUUGUGGGAAAAACUGCUCAGGAGCAGGACAUGGCAUCCUGGAUAGCGCUGCAGCCGAGCAAUUUCUGAGAGAAGGGGCAAAAUGCCGCCAGGGGGAAGGCUCCCGAGCGGUGACGGCGGGGGUGAGCAGGGACACGGCAGAGCCAGCGCGCUCCCUGCACCGUGCUUCCCCUCGCUCCUGGCCUUUUUUUUUUUUGAGUUUGCUCUUCCCCAGGGCCAUGCGGUGCUAAAUUUCCAUUACUUCUCAAAUUGCCCAAACCUGUCCAAAAUACAUGCUGGUGGUAUUAAAAAAACGGCAUCGGAUUCCCUUAAUAAUUGAGGGAGAAUCUGACCCGAGCGGCCCAUGUCUGGUGUCUGCAGCUAGCGGGAGGGACGCCGGUGCUGGGAACAUCUGCAUCGCAUCCCGCCCUGCCCCAGCCCCGUCUCUGUUAGCAAUAUCCCCACAGGUGCUGGGCUUGGUGGUGUCCUCGCUGCUUGCCGCCCCGCCACAGACACGCCAGAGCUCUUCCCUCCGUGAGAAGCCUCUUAAAUGAGAUUGCCUUUAAUUGGUUUACAGUUCUGCUUCUGCUGUGCUCACAGAUUGGAAGAACGAAAGCUGGCCAGACCAAAAUACUUUACGAUCUUGGUUUCCAUCUAGUUAAUAUUUUCCAAGCUGGUUUCCUGUUUUCCUGUUGCCAAAAACACGUAUCGGCAAAGUGUAAAAUAGCUCACAUAGCAGAGAUCUGAAACAACCGCUUCUGCUCAGAAAAGCCCCGGCACUUUCUUUAUCAGCGGCCCGUGAUGCAAGCCUUGCUCUCCGCAGAUGGAUUCGUAUCACCACCUCAGAGCUGCAGGGACGAGGCUGCGGUUUUGGGGCCAUAAUUCAAAUACUGGGGUCUGUUUUGCUCCGAGAAAUAUUUUUCGGAUGCCAGCAAAAGGAGAAAAACGGAAAUUAUUCAAACUAACUUGGGAGUGCUCACUUUAUGAAACAAGAGCCAGCUUCUGGAAGCAAACACCUAACAGGGAGAGCGUGAAUUGUGACAGCGCGUGGAAAUAGCGAGUGCUGCCGGCCCAGCGUGGGGCGAGUUCCCGGCUGCCGCCCCGCGCUGAGGGCUCGCGGGGACGCUGAUUGACAAGGAAAACAAGAAGAGGAAGCUAUACCUUUA